rnacentral:rRNA from 1 species
GACGAACGCUGGCGGCGUGCUUAACACAUGCAAGUCGAACGGAAAGGCCCUGCUUUUGUGGGGUGCUCGAGUGGCGAAUGGGUGAGUAACACGUGAGUAACCUGCCCUUGACUUUGGGAUAACUUCAGGAAACUGGGGCUAAUACCGGAUAGGAGCUCCUGCUGCAUGGUGGGGGUUGGAAAGUUUCGGCGGUUGGGGAUGGACUCGCGGCUUAUCAGCUUGUUGGUGGGGUAGUGGCUUACCAAGGCUUUGACGGGUAGCCGGCCUGAGAGGGUGAACGGCGACAUUGGGACUGAGAUACGGCCCAGACUCCUACGUGAGGCAGCAGUGGGGAAUAUUGCACAAUGGGCGGAAGCCUGAUGCAGCAACGCCGCGUGCGGGAUGACGGCCUUCGGGUUGUAAACCGCUUUCGCCGGUGACGAAGCGUGAGUGACGGUAAUGGGUAAAGAAGCACCGGCUAACUACGUG